rnacentral:misc_RNA from 1 species
GAUGAAGAACGCAGCGAAAUGCGAUAAGUAAUGUGAAUUGCAGAAUUCCGUGAAUCAUCGAAUCUUUGAACGCAUAUUGCGCCCUCUGGUAUUCCGGGGGGCAUGCCUGUCCGAGCGUCAUUGCUGCCCUCAAGCACGGCUUGUGUGUUGGGCCUCCGUCCUCCUCCCGGGGGACGGGCCCGAAAGGCAGCGGCGGCACCGCGUCCGGUCCUCGAGCGUAUGGGGCUUCGUCACCCGCUCUUGUAGGCCCGGCCGGCGCUUGCCGACACAUCAAUCUUUUUUCCAGGUUGACCUCGGAUCAGGUAGGGAUACCCGCUGAACUUAAGCAUAUCAAUAAGCGGAGGA